rnacentral:rRNA from 1 species
GAUGAACGCUGGCGGCGUGCCUAAUACAUGCAAGUCGAGCGAACAGAUAAGGAGCUUGCUCCUUUGACGUUAGCGGCGGACGGGUGAGUAACACGUGGGUAACCUACCUAUAAGACUGGGAUAACUUCGGGAAACCGGAGCUAAUACCGGAUAAUAUUUCGAACCGCAUGGUUCGAUAGUGAAAGAUGGUUUUGCUAUCACUUAUAGAUGGACCCGCGCCGUAUUAGCUAGUUGGUAAGGUAACGGCUUACCAAGGCGACGAUACGUAGCCGACCUGAGAGGGUGAUCGGCCACACUGGAACUGAGACACGGUCCAGACUCCUACGGGAGGCAGCAGUAGGGAAUCUUCCGCAAAGGGCGAAAACCUGACGGAGCAACGCCGCGUGAGUGAUGAAGGUCUUCGGAUCGUAAAACUCUGUUAUUAGGGAAGAACAUACGUGUAAGUAACUGUGCACGUCUUGACGGUACCUAAUCAGAAAGCCACGGCUAACUACGUG